rnacentral:rRNA from 1 species
UUAUUGAAUUUUGAGAUGGGGUUGUUGCUGGACCUCAGUGUCUGUGCACACCCUGAUCAUCAUCAUCCAUCUUUCACCUGUGCACCCACUGUAGGUUUGGUUUUGUGGGGGUGAUUGACUUCACCCUGCUGAGCCCUUCCUAUGUAUUUCACAACACAGACAUCAGUUUAUAGAAUGUGGACCGCGUGUAACGCAAUUGAAUACAACUUUCAGCAACGGAUCUCUUGGCUCUCGCAUCGAUGAAGAACGCAGCGAAAUGCGAUAAGUAAUGUGAAUUGCAGAAUUCAGUGAAUCAUCGAAUCUUUGAACGCACCUUGCGCUCCUUGGUAUUCUGAGGAGCAUGCCUGUCUGAGUGUCAUGGAAACAUCAAACUCUACUUGCUUUUUUGUGGGUAGGGCUUGGAAUUGGAGGCUGUUGCUGGACAAAAUAUGCUUGUCUGGCUCCUCUGAAAAUCAUUAGCCUGUGCCCCCCUGUGGAUCAGCUCCAGUAUGAUAAUUAUCUAUGCUGUUCUGUGAAGCGCUGUAGGCUGGCUUCUAACUGUGCCUCCAUGCACAAUGUCAUUGUUGACAUCUUCUGACCUCAGAUCAGGUAGGAUUACCCGCUGAACUUAA